rnacentral:rRNA from 1 species
CCCCAGUCGGGCUACUAGCAGUCGAGCGGAUGACGGGAGCUUGCUCCUUGAUUCAGCGGCGGACGGGUGAGUAAUGCCUAGGAAUCUGCCUGGUAGUGGGGGACAACGUUCCGAAAGGAGCGCUAAUACCGCAUACGUCCUACGGGAGAAAGUGGGGGAUCUUCGGACCUCACGCUAUCAGAUGAGCCUAGGUCGGAUUAGCUAGUUGGUGAGGUAAAGGCUCACCAAGGCGACGAUCCGUAACUGGUCUGAGAGGAUGAUCAGUCACACUGGAACUGAGACACGGUCCAGACUCCUACGGGAGGCAGCAGUGGGGAAUAUUGGACAAUGGGCGAAAGCCUGAUCCAGCCAUGCCGCGUGUGUGAAGAAGGUCUUCGGAUUGUAAAGCACUUUAAGUUGGGAGGAAGGGCAGUAAGUUAAUACCUUGCUGUUUUGACGUUACCGACAGAAUAAGCACCGGCUAACUCUGUGCCAGCAGCCGCGGUAAUACAGAGGGUGCAAGCGUUAAUCGGAAUUACUGGGCGUAAAGCGCGCGUAGGUGGUUCGUUAAGUUGGAUGUGAAAGCCCCGGGCUCAACCUGGGAACUGCAUCCAAAACUGGCGAGCUAGAGUAUGGUAGAGGGUGGUGGAAUUUCCUGUGUAGCGGUGAAAUGCGUAGAUAUAGGAAGGAACACCAGUGGCGAAGGCGACCACCUGGACUGAUACUGACACUGAGGUGCGAAAGCGUGGGGAGCAAACAGGAUUAGAUA